GGGAUUGUGGCUCAGUAGUAGAGCAUUUGUCUAGCAUGUGAAAGGCCCUGGGUUCAAUUCUCAGCACCA
rnacentral:tRNA from 1 species